rnacentral:misc_RNA from 1 species
GACGGCGCCAGCACGCGCCAGACUUCGCGCAACAGUCCUUCCGGAUCGUCAGAGAUUUCCAGCGCGUGAACCAGCAGGAUGCGGUCGACCGCAGCAUCCGCCAAAGGCAGUGCGAAUUCAUCGACCAGCGUCGANCAGCGUCGACAACGUCGGCCGUGCCGUGGGCCAUUUAAGAACGCCCUGAGCGGCGGGCAUCAGCGCGAUGCACCGCUCCGCAUCCUCGCGAAACAGGCCAAGAUACGGCGUCGGAUAACCAAGCCCGGCCACGCGCAGGCCAUCCGCCUGCGGCCAGUGCCGCUNNNNNNNCCGCGAUUGAUCAAACGCCGUGCCACCGCGCCAAGGCGCUGCGAAUAGAAAUUCCGGAGAU